rnacentral:ncRNA from 1 species
CUGGCGUAAAGAUGAACUUAAGUAAACCGCGUUAGAAUCCUUCACAAUGUGACGCAGAAUUUCUGAUCGUCUUCCCUGAAAUGUUACAAACUUGGGUGGUGGUGAAGCGCCGUUUUUAGUUUUUGAAGUGAUCUGUCUGAUUGAUUCCGAUAACGAACGAGAUUCAGAGAUAUGAAGUAGAUACUUUUAGGGCUAAGGUGUCGAAUAAUGGGAUUAAGUAAUAACAAGUCUUUGAUGCCGUGAGAUGUCCCGGGCUACGCGCGCUACCAUGAAAUUAUCAAGCGUAUUUCCCAGACCGAGAAGUCUACGUAAACCGCUACACCAAUUUCUUGCUUGGGAUUGAAAACGGCAACUGUUCAUACGGAC